rnacentral:rRNA from 1 species
CAGUAGCCACGGUAAUACGAAGGGUGCAAGCGUUAAUCGGAAUUACUGGGCGUAAAGCGUGCGUAGGCGGUCUGUUAAGUCUGCUGUGAAAUCCCCGGGCUCAACCUGGGAAUGGCAGUGGAUACUGGCAAGCUAGAGUGUGUCAGAGGAUGGUGGAAUUCCCGGUGUAGCGGUGAAAUGCGUAGAGAUCGGGAGGAACAUCAGUGGCGAAGGCGGCCAUCUGGGACAACACUGACGCUGAGGCACGAAAGCGUGGGGAGCAAACAGGAUUAGAUACCCGCGUAGUCCCUGUCUCUUAUAC